UUGAAGGGCUGCAGUAUUUUGACUGUACAAAGGUAGCAUAAUCAUUAGUCAUUUAAUUGAUGACUUGUAUGAAGGAUUGAAUGAAAUAUAAACUGUCUCUUAAUUAUAUAUGUAGAAUUUAAUUUUUUAAUUAAAAAGUUAAAAUAAUUUAAAAAGACGAGAAGACCCUAUAGAGUUUUAUAAAUAAUUUAAUUAAGAUUAUUUAAUAUGAUAAAAUUAAAAUUGAUUUAUUUAUUUUGUUGGGGUGACAGAAAAAUAUAAAUAACUUUUUUUAUAGUUUAUACAUUUAUAAGUGAUUAAAUGAUCCAUUAUUAUUGAUUAUAAGAAAAAAUUACCUUAGGGAUAACAGCGUAAUUUUUUUUUUUAGUUCAUAUAAGAAGAAGAGUUUGCGACCUCGAUGUUGGAUUAAGAUAAAAUUUAAAUGUAGAAG
rnacentral:rRNA from 2 species